GGCCUACGGGAGGCAGCAGUGGGGAAUAUUGCACAAUGGGCGCAAGCCUGAUGCAGCUAUGCCGCGUGUGUGAAGAAGGCCUUCGGGUUGUAAAGCACUUUCAGUCAGGAGGAAAGGUUAGUAGUUAAUACCUGCUAGCUGUGACGUUACUGACAGAAGAAGCACCGGCUAACUCCGUGCCAGCAGCCGCGGUAAU
rnacentral:rRNA from 1 species